rnacentral:rRNA from 1 species
UACGGAGGGGGCGAGCGUUAUUCGGAAUUAUUGGGCGUAAAGGGCGCGUAGGCGGCCGGAUAAGUCAAAGGUGAAAUCCCUCGGCUCAACUGAGGAACUGCCUUUGAAACUGUUUGGCUUGAGGCCGGGAGGGGGUAGCGGAAUUCCCAAUGUAGCGGUGAAAUGCGUAGAUAUUGGGAAGAACACCGGUGGCGAAGGCGGCUCACUGGCUCGUAUCUGACGCUCAGGCGCGACAGCGUGGGGAUCAAACAGG